UUUAAUUAAAGAAAAGAACAGGAAAAUAUGGAAGAGUCGUGAAGGAACUUGCUACGAAGAUACCAUUUGUCAAAGAGAAAACGUGCUUAGGUACGACGCAAUGAAUCGGUAAAACACCAACAACCCAUAUUAGCUGUCCCUUUCCAAAACGCCUUUUAUUUUUUUUUCUUCUUUUGUGUAAAACAACCGCCUCACAUUAAAAACGCCCCUAAACACGUAAUCUCUCCAACAAGAUCAAUCUUAGACCGUCGAUCUUACAUAUAAUCAAUUAAUCUCGUCCGUCCAUUAGUCCUAACCCUCUAUAUAUAACAACGCGUAGACCUUAUUAAGUUUCUCAUACCCGCUUAAUUCAUUGAUUCAUUCAAUUUUUGUUCAUCGUUUUCUCUAGAUCUCCCUUUUAUAUCGUCGUAUCGGAGGUUUUCCGAUGAAGAUCGUAACAGAUCUGCUUCCGAUCUAAAGAUCGGCGUCUUAUACGAAGAGAUCCAGAGGCUCCGGUUGAUUCCUCGGCAGAAGACGGAACGUCGCGGUCGAGCUCCGAAGAUCGGUUGAAGAACUGGUAAUUAUGGCUUCUCGUAACUGGAUCUGAUAAUCGAUUCGUUUAAUUCGAUUGAAUUCUUUGUAAUUAUGAUAUUUAUUCGGUGAUUUAAAAUUCCAGAUCUGAUCUUAGAUCAUGAAUCGGCCUCGAGGUUCGUCAGAUGUACGAUAUGCUCUCUACUGAGCUUGUGAUUAGGUGACGAUUUCGUCAAUUAUUGAUGGAGCUAGAGAGAGAGGAGAGAUUGAAGAAGAGAGAAGAAGCUGAUAUGUGAUAUUGAUGUGAGUUAAGUUGAUUGAUGGAUGUAUGAGAUGUUUAUAGGGACGAUAUAGUUCUGAAUAAACAUCUUUGUCAUCCGACCUUUGCCAUGACAGGUGCGCUUGCAUGGCAGGUCACCAAAAAUCCUUAAUAAAAAAAAAAGUUUCGUGGUUGUUGAGGGGAGUUCGCACGGGGGAUUUUUUUUGCCCGGGUUCUCCCCUCUCGUGUGUGUGUGUGUCUUGCUUCUCGCUCUUUCACACUCUGAUUCCUUUGAUCUCCAUUCGUUCUCAAAAAUUCUCUGAAUACCACAGAAAUAUUCUCGAUCCGGAUCUUAAGAUCAGCGGAUCUGGAGACAAGCUGGCCUAUUCAAAAUCCAACAUCCACCAACAAACAAAGGUACUUUUAAUUUGAGUUUUAAUUCUACGUUUUAUUCUUUUAUUUGCAUCAUACAGUAUAACAAAUCUGACUCCCAGUAUUCAUAACAACUUCGAAUCAUCGGGUUUAAUUUUUGUGCACUCAUACUCAAAAUUCAUUGUUGCAAAUCAUUAUUCUCAAAAUAAUUUCACUAAGUAAUCAUGGAAAAUUAAAUUGUUUUGUCGAUUACCACCAUGUUUGUUAAUUUCGGAAAUGCAAUUGUAUAUGUAUGCACUUUAUCGAUCUUCUAUUGUUCGUAGUUUUUUUUUGGUGUAAGUAAAGUCAUUCAUCGAUCUACUAUUGUAUAAUACCUACAUAAAGUAUCAGUAGUGAAAUUUCUUUGCCCAAUUCUACAGAAUUUUAUUUUAUUUAGUAAUUAUAGAGUCGCAUAUGUUAUUUAUAUGACCUGGAUUUGCUCACGGCUGCACUGUCAAGAGCUAUGACUACAAUAGCUAGCUUCCGGAGAAGAAAUAACAUGAGUAUCGAAGGUAUCUGAUUUUUUUUGGUAUGAUGGCGGUUGGACUCAAUUCGAACCUGUAGCUUUGUUUCGAUUAAUCUUUACUUUGAAUUAUCGUUGUAUUUGUUCAAUAAGUUUGCUUUAGACUUUUGCACUCUGAUGGGAUCAUUCAAAUAACAUUAAUUCAGUUUCAAUUCUAUGCAUUGAUCUUUGAUUUAUGUCAUGCAACUUUGUGGUUUUACUGUUUCAAAUUAUUUCCAUUUGACGAUUUAUACAUGUUUCAAGUGUCACAAGUUUGAUUUUUGUCUAAUUUGGUACUAUUAUAGACUCUGCAACCAUGGGCUUUCGUCUUCAUGAUGUUUCAAGUGGGGAGAAAGAUUGGAGCAACUAUAUUAAAAUGAAUGUCGGUAGCCUAUGGACUUAAACCAAAAUGGACAAAGGUUUGACCUAAUAGAUCUGUAAGCUCAAAAUGGUAGAGCUCUCGUUAUGAGAGGUUGGUGGUUCGAAUCCACCCAGAUCUGUCUGCUUUCUACCCUUUUUCACCUUAUCAUGUCAUUGGAUAAUCCUAAUUUUGAAUUUAAGUUAGGGAAUAUGAUUGACCUAUCGGCUGUUAUUGCUAAAAUUAUCAAGUCUCUUUUUACCUGAGCAACCGGCACGAAGGAAGGUGGAAUGAAGCAUCGUUAAAGCAACGGCGACUAUACAUUGAUAUUCUGUCUAGAUGUGUUAUUUGGAUUACAAGCAACUAAGCAAGGACCAUAAUUCACUCCCACAGGCCACAGCCAUAAAAGUCAUAUUUUUAUGAUUAGCCCUAACUAAUGAAAGAUGAUUGCAAAAUUCUGUUCAUCACCUUUUUUUUUUUUUUGAAAACGAUUCUGUUCAUCACCUUUGGGAUAUAAAUCAAGGCUAACUCGUUCACAAUAAUUGAAGUUAUCCCAUGUUUUGCUUGUUAAAGUAAAUUAAUUAUGUAUUAUAUUUGCAGUGACAAAAUAAAUUGUUAUGCUUUCAGGGUACAAGAAGAUCUGAACCAAGGCAAUGAACGAGAAAGUGCAUAUGUGCGGGGCGGAGGAGGCUAGAGAUUAUAGAGGAACUGAACAGGUUAUUGGCAGAACUUCUUUGUAUUUGCUGGUCCACAGAGAGUUUCGUGACUUGCGUUUUGACAACGUUAAGAUUUGGUCGGACUAUAUAGCUGCUUUUGAAGCGGUUAACAAUCCGAUUAAAUGGCCGCGAUACCGUAAUUUUGUUAGUCGUAUAAAACACGCUUUAUCCGAUUAAAUGGCCGCUUCAAUCGUCUCUUUCUUUUUAAUUUUUAUGUUUUAGAGAUGUAUGGCUCUGUUUUUUAUUUUAUGUGGUUUACAAACUCUGUUUCAAGUUCUUCGUUUACAUUUUGAAAUUAAACUAGACGACAAAAAAAAUUGAAAAUUAUUCUUUCAAUUUAGUAUGAAAUUAAGAUAAUUCAUAAAAAGAAACUAUUCCGAAAAUGUAUAUAUAGAUAUUGAUGUGGUAACAACAACAACGAUUUAUAAUGUACAAAUAAAAGGAUAAUAUACAAUAACAUUAUUCUCAGUAUUAUACCUAUUUGAGAGAAGACCAAUAACAUUAUUAUUUAGUAGAAGAGUUGAUAAAAAAGUAUCAAAUCAAAAAACGAUUUGGUGUCGGAUUCACGUCACAUGGUGUUAUUUUAAUUUUAUGCCAUUUAGUAAUCGUUCCAAUGUCAAUCCACGGACCGUUUUGAUUUGAUUAAACCAAAUCAUACGCACAUGAUUGCGAUUAUAAACCUAAUCUUUAAUGUUUUAAAAAUCAAUUGAUCGAGUAAAACAUUUACAUUUUAAUUAUUUUAAUAUUAGCUGAUGCUGUCUUUUAUGGACUUUUCUUCUUUCUUUUUGUUAUUCUACCUAAAGGUCCUAAACCACGAAAGAGUGGUUUGCACAUAAUGAUGAAUAUAUACGUUUGAAAAAUUGUUACAUUUUUAUUCUUGGAAGCUAAUUAGUGAGUUCAGUAAGUUUUCUAAUAGUAAUUGCCUGUUCUCGAUCGACACAAUAGAUAAAGACAAAUAAAUUAGCAAUAUAUAUAUAUAUAAAAAAAAAAGACAGAUAAGAGUUUGUUAAACGUGAGAGAAGGUUAGAAUUUUGGAAAAUCACCAAAUUAUUACUUCACCAAUUUCGGAUCUUGUCCUCUUGUCAUAAAAUCAUUUCAGAUCUGAUUUUUAUUUGGUCCAACGCCAAUAUUGAAAAUUCAUUUAUAUACAAAAAAAAAAAAAUAGUUAUUAUUUUCAACCAAUGGGCCUUUCACAAUAACAUACAUAGGGCCAGCUUUAAAGUGUUUAAUUUUACAUGCCACAUAAAUUGGUUAAUAAUAAUACAUUUUCUUCACGUUUCUCGCUUUUUAAGUCCCUUUGAAGUGGGAAUGAUACUCGCGUGACUACCAAACUUCAUUGAUCCUCUCUCUUUCUCUCUCUCUCUCUCUGUGAUCAGUUUAAUCUCUACUGAAGAAAGAACGAAAGAAAGAAAGAUCCGUAUUAUUAGGUAAGAAUGAGAUUCUCUUUUUUACGUUUCGAUUUUGAUUCCUUUUGUUUUAAAUAAAGAAAGAUCAUAUCGUUUUGCUUCGAUUUAGCUUCCUUCUGUUUACAAGUCUCUCUUUAUGAAGAUCAUAAUUCCGUGAGCUUCAUAAAUUUCUCGUUUUUUUGUUUGUUAAUUAUCUAUGUGAUGAUUGUAUUUUUACUGAUAUUUUAGAAAUGUUUAGGUUUCAUUAUCAUAUUUUGAAAAAGUUUCAUGGUGACCAAAAAAAAAAGAAAGAAAAAUUUGAUGGAUGAGAUGUUGGAGAAUUGUUUUGUAUUCCAUUCAUGGAAUUUAAUUCUUAUGCUAAAUUCGUUUUUUUGUGUGCUUUAAAAAAAGUCAAAAUGUAAUAAAUUCUUUGUUACAAGAAUCAUUUAUAGCCAUAUUUAUGUUUUUUGACAAGUCGAUUUCAUGCUUUCUAGAAGAUUAGACACCUAGUUAUAUUUAUCUUGUAGGGAAUUAUUUAUCAGAUGUGAAGAAGAUUCAAAGUUGGAUGAUAACGAAAAUUUUCAUACCUCAUUUGAGAUCUUCAUGUAGUAAAUAAAUACAAAUAGAAUUCUUGAUCCCGUUUUAGAUGUAAGAUUUUCUUGUGUUUAUCAGUUUUUCUAUUGAUAGCCGAUUAUUAAAACCUUUUUGCUUAAUCUUGGAUCUGAUUUAGUAUAUAAAAGAUAGUUUUGCUUUUUAAAUUGGACUUAAAACUCUGAUUUGAUCGUUUCUAGGCUUUGAAGCUGUCUCCUCAAAGUUUAAAGAUUGUUGUUUAAUCAAACAUGUUCAGAAGAAGGAAUGCUCACCAACUCGAGGAUGAUUCUCACAAAGAGAACAAGGUACAAGAAUCUUCUUAAUUCUUUUACUAUAUGAGAACAUUAAUAUAUACUUUCGAAAGUAUUAAAGAUACUUCUACAAGUUUCAGGUUAGAGAAUUGAAAUCCGCAAUAGGACCACUAUCGGGACAUAGUUUAGUUUUCUGCUCUGAUGCUUCAUUGAGGAGAUAUUUGGAUGCUCGUAAUUGGAAUGUGGAAAAAGCUAAGAAAAUGAUUGAAGAGACUCUUAAAUGGAGAUCAACCUAUAAACCUCAAGAGAUCCGUUGGGUAAAAUUUGAGUUUAUUAUGUACUUCAUUUUAUUCUUCUUGUUUUUUUUUUUUGUUUUUUCUUACUUUUUUGAAUCAUCUUUUUCUGAUUCUCUUUAGAAUCAAGUAGCACAUGAAGGUGAGACUGGAAAAAUUUCAAGAGCUAGUUUUCAUGAUCGACAAGGUAGAGUCGUGCUUAUAAUGAGACCCGCAUUGCAGGUAACUAAGCCGAUUUUUCGCCUUUUGGAACUUUUUCUUGAGUUUUAAAAACUCAUAACUUACUUAAUCUUAUGAAACAGAACUCAACAUCAUCAGAAGGUAAUAUCAAGCAUUUGGUCUAUCUUCUUGAAAAUGCAAUCCUAAAUCUUCCCAAGGGACAAGAACAAAUGUCUUGGCUCAUCGAUUUCACUGGUUGGUCUAUGGCUGCUAAUGUUCCUAUGAAAACAACACGCGAAAUCAUCCACAUUCUACAGAAUCAUUACCCUGAGAGACUCGGUAUCGCCUUUCUCUACAAUCCACCAAGAAUCUUCCAAGCAGUCUACAAGGUACAAAAAAACAUUCAUCACUACAACACAACCAUCAAAAUUGUCUCUCUUUCAUUGUCUUUAAAAAAGUUUCACUAUAUACCUACUCUUUUAUUCAUGUAGGCUGCUAAGUACUUCUUGGACCCAUGUACAGCUGAAAAGGUGAAAUUUGUGUACCCAAAAGACAAAGCAAGUGAUGAACUGAUGACAUCACACUUUGAUAUUGAGAAUCUCCCCAAGGAAUUUGGAGGAGAAGCAACACUAGAGUAUGAUCAUGAGGAUUUCUCAAGACUAAUGUGUGAAGACGAUCUCAAAACCGCAAAAUACUGGGGAUUGGAGGAGAAGCACUAUCCGAAACCAAACGGUUUCUCUGCAUCCGAUGUUGUUCCUGAGCCGGCAACUCCUAUUGCAUCAGCCGCUAGCUGAGAGUUGAAUAUAUAAUAUACACAGAGAAACAAGAAGAGAAGAAGAAUAAAGGUUUAUUCUCAUUGAUAGAAGAAGGAGCCAUUAGAAUGUGCUGGUAAACUUGGAAAUUAAUAAUUUCAAGUCUUUGCCUCUUUUUCUUAUUAGUGAGCCAAAGACUUUUGAAUGUUUUAAUUAGAAGAGCUUAUGUAUGUGUGAGAGAACAUUGUUACCAUGUGUAAUACUACUAGUUUUGUGUUCAUUAAUUGAAAUAUGAGAUUAUCUCUUUUUGUUCUUAUGUAUUCAAGUUAGUUAUUAAAUUAUUGCUCUUCUUGACUUAUUGGUUUUUCCUAACGAAGUAAUCAAAUAAGACAGAGUAAAUAUAUUAAUUGAACUUAAUGUUCACAAUCGGUCCCGUAGCUCAGUUGGUUAGAGCGUUGGUCUUAUGAGCCGAAGGUCGCGGGUUCGAGCCCCGCCGGGACCAUCUGUCCUGAUUUCAUUAAAUUUAUAAUUUUGCGAUUUUUUUUUUUUUUUUUAAAUCAACGCACGUUCGAUUGUGAAGAAAUCAAUCAUCUCUGUUUCUGCUUCCAAGUGAAUGAAUUCAAAGCUCAGAAAUUGAAAGAUUGAAACUUUUUUUUUAAUUAAUAAAAAUCGUUUCUUUGUAAUCAUUGGACUAGGGUUCAUGAUCCUACCCAUCAAUUGGCUUUUGAACACCAUGAAUCUUUGGUGAUUAACCCAGAACCCAGAAAAUUUUCAAAGCUCGACGAUAUGGUUCACAACGCUUAUGAUUCGUUUCAGCUUCUCAAAGAUUGUCCCGCUAGGAUCGAUGCUGUUGAAUCCUACGGCUCUAAGCUCUUCGCCGGAUGCUAUGACGGUUCUCUCCGCAUUUACUCUCCACCGGAAUCUUCUGCCUCUGAUCCGUCGGAGCUGCAUCAAGAGACUUUCGUGCUUGAGACGACCGUGGCUGGAUUCUCUAAGAAACCGAUUGUGGCGAUGGAAGUUUUGGCUUCAAGAGAGUUGCUUUUGUCUCUCUCUGAGUCAAUUGCGUUUCAUGGGCUUCCUAAUUUGGAGACUGUUGCUGUGAUUACUAAAGCUAAAGGUGCUAAUGCUUAUUCGUGGGAUGAUCGGCGUGGGUUCUUGUGUUUCUCUAGGCAAAAGAGGGUUUGUGUUUUCAAGCACGAUGGUAAAAAUCUCUGAGAUUUUGUACUUGAUUCUGAAUCAUGAGUCUACACAUUGGGUUGGAUUUUUUUACAAAGAGUUGUUUCUGUUGAUUGGUGGUAUUGUUUAGGAGGAGGUGGAUUUGUAGAGGUCAGAGACUAUGGAGUUCCUGAUACUGUCAAGUCGAUUUCUUGGUGUGGAGAAAACAUCUGUUUAGGCAUUAAAAAGGAGUAUGUGAUACUUAACACUGCUAAUGGGACACUCUCUGAGGUGUUUCCUUCUGGUAGGGUUGCUCCUCCUCUCGUGAUAUCUCUACCUUCUGGUGAACUUCUUUUGGGAAAGGUAGUUAUGGUUUUCCUCUUUCCCCAUUCAAUGUAUUUGCUCGGUUUUCUUAUGAAUACUGUACAAACAUUGUGGUAGCAUUUGUUGUGUGUGAUAUUUAUUCUUCAUUGUAUCUGUCAUCUUCUCGACCCCAAUUUUGUAACUUUUAUUUCUUCGUAGAGGUCAGGAUGUUUUGGAAACCUGUCUUCAUUGGUUUCUUCUUGUACAUGUAGGAGAACAUUGGAGUUUUUGUUGAUCAAAAUGGGAAGCUCCUUCAAACAGAGAGAAUUUGUUGGUCAGAGGCCCCAACGUCUAUUGUCAUUCAAAACCCUUAUGCAAUAGCCUUGUUGCCUCGUCGAGUUGAGGUAUAUAGAGUUCCUGCCUAGUGUUAUUCCAGUUUUGGCUUUCUUCUAGUUUCUGGAUACCUGUUAUGUGCUUAUGCCUUUUGGCUUUGUUUUGAUAGGUUCGCUUGCUCCGAAGUCCAUAUCCUUUAAUACAGACAAUUGUUCUUCAAAACAUUCGUCGCCUGGUCAAGAGCAACAAUGCUGUGAUUGUUGGUUUGGAUAACUCUGUUUAUGUUCUCUUCCCUGUGUCUAUUGGUGCCCAGGUAUUCACUUUAGCCCUGAGAAUUUUGAUGUUUCUUUUUGCUGCUCAUAGUUUCAUGUGGAUGAAUAUGAAAAUGUGUUACAUCGGUUGAAUAUGACACUAUUUCAGUAUUCUUUAUAGAGACUUUGAUGUAACUCGCAUUAGCUGCUUUUGAAAAGGUUGAGUUUCAUCGCAGAUUGUGCAAUUAACAGCUUCGGGAAACUUUGAGGAAGCCUUAGCUCUAUGCAAAGUACUCCCCCCUGAAGAGUCAAGCCUACGAGCUGCGAAAGAGAGUUCGAUUCAUACAAGGUUUGUAAAGCUAGAAGCCUUUCUCUUCCUUCUACUAGUUACACUUUAAUCGUAAUGUGCAGUUCAUGGGAAUCUUUUUGUUCAUAUUUGUUGUCUCGUUAUCAUGAUACAGAUUUGCUCAUUAUCUUUUUGAGAAUGGGAGCUAUGAGGAAGCCAUGGAACACUUCCUCGCAUCUCAAGUAGAUAUCACGCAUGUACUUUCCAUGUAUCCAUCCAUCAUUCUUCCUAAAACAACUAUUAUUCCUCAACCAGAUAAGAUGGUGGACAUUUCUGGUGAUGAAGCAUCUCUGUCAAGAGGUUCAUCCGGCAUUUCAGAUGAUAUGGAGUCUUCAUCUCCUCGCUAUUUUUUGGAAUCUGAGGACAAUACAGCCCUUGAAUCUAAGAAAAUGAGUUACAACACUUUGAUGGCUCUUAUAAAGUACUUGCAGAAGAGGAGGCCAGCUGUUAUCGAGAAGGCCACUUCUGAAGGAACAGAAGAGGUCAUUUCGGAUGCUGUUGGUAAAAGUUAUGGGGCAUAUGAUUCAUCUAAGUCUAAGAAGUCCAGCAAGGUGCAGAUGAUUUAUCUUCCGCAAUAGCUAAUUGAUGACUAGGUCUUGGAUUAUAACACUUUAUAAGCUUUUGGGAGCUACUGACUGACUAAUUCCUUGGAAGUUGAUGCAUAGAUAAUAUAAGCAGCUUCCCUUGAUUUUUACGUUUGAUAGUAAUUUUCUUGGGGAUGUACCAUCUUUUUUUCUGCAGGGACGUGGUAUGAUCCCUCUUAAUUCAGGUGCCAGAGAGAUGGCUGCAAUCCUUGAUACAGCUCUUCUCCAAGCACUUCUACACACUGGCCAGUCUGGAUCUGCUAUAGAGUUAUUAAAGGGUGUCAACUACUGUGACGUUAAGAUUUGUGAGGAGAUUCUUAUGAAAAGUAAAAAUUAUUCUGCACUAUUAGAACUAUUCAAGAGCAAUUCGAUGCACCAUGAAGCCCUUAAGCUUCUUAAUCAGCUGGCGGAGGAGUCCAAAUCAGACCAGUCACAAACUGAAGUUACACAGAUAUUUAGUCCUGAGUUGAUCAUUGAAUAUCUCAAGGCAGGUUUUCUCGGUGCUAACCUUUUCUCUAGUCUAUCUUUAAAUUCUAAAUUGUUAUAGAAAAGAAAACUACAAAUUUGUUAACCACGUUUGAUUUUGGUACUGACUGAAGAUAACUUGGUCUAUAUUCCCAUUUUAAAGUGGAGAAUUCUAAGAAACAGCUGUGAGAUGCUAACUUUCUGUUGGUGGAUUUCUCUCUGCAGCCUCUCUGCAGGACUGAUCCUAUGCUUGUCUUGGAGUACUCUAUGCUUGUCCUGGAAAGCUGUCCAACUCAAACCAUCGACUUGUUUUUGUCUGGAAAUAUCUCAGCCGACCUUGUCAAUUCGUAUCUGAAGCAGCAUGCUCCAAAUAUGCAGGGUAGAUAUUUAGAACUUAUGAUGGCUAUGAAUGAAACCGCAGUUUCUGGAAAUCUCCAAAACGAGAUGGUGAGGAAAUAGAACUUAUGGAAAGCAUUUUCAUUGAGUUAACAUUACAUAUUUUUGGCACUAAAAAUUUGGAUUACAGGUACAAAUCUACCUUUCAGAAGUGCUUGACUUGUAUGCUGCAAAGAGUGCGCAGCAGAAAUGGAAUGAGAAGGAUCAUCCUCCCGAAAGGAAAAAACUAUUGUCUGCGUUAGAGAGCAUCUCCGGAUAUAGUCCACAGCCUUUGUUGAAGCGUCUUCCACGUGAUGCUCUCUAUGAAGAGCGUGCAGUUAUAUUGGGUAAAAUGAAUCAACAUGAGCUUGCUUUAUCAAUCUAUGUUCAUAAGGUACCUAUCGAUAAUCUCCUCGUAUAACAAAUAUCAUUGAUUUCCUUGGCCAAAUAAGCUUAUAAAUGUUGGCUAGUUGUGCUUAAAAAACACUUUGAUAUGAAAAUGCAUGGUGUAGUAGAUGAGUAUAUCAUUGUAUAGAUAAGUAUAUUGUGAAAUCAUUCAGAAUUCAGAUAUCCAUGGAUUCUAUGGAGUGUUUCUUAUGGCUUAACUCAUUGAGGUUUUUCUUAUAGCUUCAUGCACCUGAUCUGGCGCUGGCUUACUGUGAUCGUAUAUAUGAGUCCGUUUCUUAUCUACCAUCUGGAAAACCGUCAAGCAAUAUCUACCUCACAGUGCUACAAAUAUACCUGAACCCUAAGAAAAGCGCAAAAGACUUUGCAAAACGAAUUGUAGCUCUAGGAUCAUUCGAAAGUUCAGAGACUACAAAGAUGAUGGACUCUGUUUUAUCUUCAAAAGCUAAAGGAGGCCGAUCCAAGAAAAUUGUUGCAAUAGAAGGUGCUGAGGAUAUGCGAGUUGGUCUCAGUAGCAGCACUGACAGUGGAAGAAGCGAUGUUGAUGCUGAAGAACCCUUGGAAGAAGGAGACUCCACCGUUAUGAUCUCUGAGGUUCUUGAUCUGUUGAGCCAAAGGUGGGAGAGAAUCAACGGUGCACAAGCCCUCAAGCUUUUACCUAGAGAAACUAAACUUCAGGUAAAUGUUUUUGAAUCUGACUUAUUAAUAUCCCAUUACUACUUACUAGUAUCUUAUUGAAGCUCACUUAUUCUUUAUCCAAUUCAUACAGAACCUACUUCCGUUCCUUGCACCCCUUCUAAGAAAUUCAAGUGAAGCACACAGGAACUUUUCAGUCAUCAAGAGUUUGAGACAGAGUGAAAACUUACAGGUAUGUUUUUGUGUUUCUGGAAGCCAAAGUAAUCACAUGCAUAAUCCAUACCUUUCUCAAUCAAAUCUUAGUAUGAAUAAGUCUAUUGAUACCGCAUAUGCUACUAUAAACUAUUGGCAGCUCGCAUUAAAAGAAACCCUUAUGUGAAAUUGAUGUGAAAAAUAGGUGAAAGAGGAACUGUACAAACAUAGGAAAGGAGUAGCGCAAGUAACAAGCGAUAGCAUGUGCUCAUUGUGCAACAAGAAGAUCGGGACAAGCGUCUUUGCUGUUUAUCCCAAUGGGAAAACGUUAGUUCACUUUGUCUGCUUCAGAGAUUCUCAAGGCAUGAAAGCUGUUUCUAAGACAUCACAUGGAAGAAGACGAUGAGAGGUCAUCAUCAUCAUUACUGUAACAAAGAGGUUUAAGACACUAAACCAUCUUUUCUUUUUACAAAACUCCCAAAGUGCAAUUAAAGAAAAAGCUCCUUUCGUUGUUUGUCUGUUUAUAGAGAGAUAGUUGGAGCUAAAUUUUUUGGUUGUGUUUUCUUCAUUGUUUUUUUUUGUUUGUUUGGUUGAAAAUGAUGGUCUUGACAAAACCAGUUUGAUUCUUGUUGUAAAAUCUGUUUUCGAGUUAGUUUAUAUAAGAUUUUGUGUUAUUGGGACUUGGUCGAAGAGAAAACAAAACUAUAUGUAAAUACAAUAUGAUAUAUAGGCCAAUACACGUGGGCUAGAUUAGGCUUUAUCAGGCUUUAACGGCCCACUUAGAUUAUAUAAUAAGAUUAGAAGUCACGUGUAGGCAUGGAAAAAAAACCGCUAACCAAAUAACCGACCGAACCCGAACCGAAAAAAAUCGAACCAAAUCCGAACCGAAAUUUUUAAAAUAACCGAAUGAUUAGUAAAAUCCCAUAUUCAAACUAACCGAAACCGAACCGAACCGAAUCGAUAACCAAACGGUUAACCGAAAUAUCCAAAAACAUAUAAGAUACCCAAAAAUAAUAUACAAAAUUAUAAUUAUAAACUCAAAAUAUUAAUUAUUUUUAGAAUCAAAACAAUCAAACACUUUAAAUAAUCAAAAUAUGCAAAUAUUGUUUGUUAUAUUUGUCAAAGUUAAAUACUCUAUUAAAAAAUUGAAUCAAAUUUUAUUUUUCUUUAUAAUAUUUUAUUUUUUUGUAUUUUUUUUUGUAUUUUUUUCGGUUAGCUUUGGUUAGUUUCGGUAAAUUUCGGUUAUUUUGAGUAAAAACCCGAACCAAACCGAAUGUGAUAAAAGUUUAGUUAGUUAUAGUUAUUUAUUUAAAUAUCCAAAUCGAACAAAACUGAACCAAAAUUCCUAAAAUAUCUGAAUGGUUAUUAUAUUACUAUAUCCAAACUAACCGAAACUGAAUGCAACCGAACCGAAACCGAAUGUCCAGGCCUAAUCACGUGAGGUGAGGAGACAUGACAUGUAAUGUGAAAUUACAAAGUCGAACACCUAGUGUCUUGGGGUAAUCGUUAGGGCUAGGUUUCGUGUUCUACGAAGCAAAGAGCAGAAGAGAGAGAGAGAGAGGCAUCUUUUGGGAAAGCGGUGGUCGUAUCUCAAUUGAACCAAAAAUUAACCAAUCUCAAGACCGAUCCGAUUCUCUUUGUUCCCUGUCUCUCUGGGUCUCUUGGUGUUCUUUUAAUCUUUUUAUAUUCAUCAUACUCUUUCCGGUUUCACGUAUUUUGUCCAUUCGUGUUUGGCGGCACACGACGUCCUCCUACAACAAGAUUAUUGUAUUGAUAUUCUUUUUUUCUAAAUUGUAAAUAUUUCAUAGAUAAUGAAAAAGUUUAGGUUACAAACAUAGAUUUGAAAACCUAUGCAUAUGGAUUCAUGGUAAAAAGAAUAAAAACAUGGAAACAUAAUAAACGGUUAAUUAAAACCAAGUUUUCGGUCCAUCUUCUCAACCCCGUAAAUAAAGCUAUGAAGCAAAGGGAAAAGAUGAAGCGAUUACGUUCUGAUCUAUCCUUCCCGAAUGAAAGUGCAAAGUAGAAGGGCUUUUGCUUAAAAUGGAAAACCUUAAAGUGACGGACCAAGAGCUUUAGAAGCCUUUCGCAGGAGACCCGAGACCGAGCCGUCAACGGUUUGAACACUCCAAAUCUACGAUCACUUACUCUCCCCGCUUCAAGUGAGAUCGAUUCUUCAAUUCAAUCCAUGAGCUUUCCUAGAAACGGAACCUCACACGCCAAAAACCAGAGAUGCAAGCUCCCUCUAACCAAGUUCCUCCUCGAAGUCAGCAGCGCAGAGCAAGAUAAGAAAAAUCACCACUGCAUCAGAAGUCUUUAGCCCUACUAGCUCCUCUAAAGCUCAAUCCAAAAGACAAAGAAAAACGCACGGAAAGCAAGCUAACUUCAAAACAAAAGCACUGUCAAAAAGAAGCCACAGGAAAGAACAAGUCUUGAACAAAACCAAAGAGCCGAAAUGCAAACGGAGAUCUGAAAAGUAGUAGGUAACAAGCUACCACCGAUAGCUAACGCCACAACUUGAAAACACCAUUGCAGCUGCACAAAGGAGGCAAAGAGCAUCCAAAUCGUCGACAAAGCUUAACUAGCCACAAGAACCAUGCUCCUAAAAAUUCUGCUACUGUCCCCAAGCAGAGUAGGCCAACAGAGACAUGGUUCUCCUAAAAUCAAGCUCGACGAAGACAACUAGACGACCUUAGAAAAACCAAUAACAGCCAAACUUUGAUUACCUAUGUGGAGGAGAAACAGAAAAGAGAGGCUGAGGCAUCAGAAGCAACAGCGGGCCAACGGAGAACACUGACCAAAGCUGGAGAACCAGACACUGCGCUAAAGAAAGCCUCUCAGUUCAAACUCCAACACACAAAAUCGACACGCACGUAGCGGACAGAGGUUUCAAGCGAGCGGGGGCAAGCUGUCCUCAAGGCGAACUCCCGACUCAGAGAAACCCGAGACCCCGGUAGACACGAGCCAAAACGCGGUGGUUAGACCAAGAGAGAUCUUGGAAAAAAUUACUCCGAGCCAGGAAGAGAGACGCCACCACGACGAAGCCAAGGGAAGCACGCUCGACCAACGGAAAUCACCAGGAAGAAGGAGAUCUAGAGCAGAUCUACAAACAAAAGCUUGCUCUGCCGAAGAGAAGCGAGACACUUGGACCGAAGAUGAGAGCCUCUACCAAUGUCCAGCACCGUCUACAGGCAGUGGAGGGAGAGGGCAGGAGAAACCAGUCACCGGAAAACCGGCCGUCGCGCACGGAGAACCUUCAACACACACCACGAGAACCAAAGAAGAAACGACCCUCCAGAGCCUUCAAGAACACAUGUGAAGAAGAGAGCAAGUAACCAAGAGCCCUCUCACAGUGUCGGUCAGAACCAAACACCGGAGAGGCAAGGGCGGCGGAGAUUUAGGGUUGUCACAGAAAAAUCGCUUUGGGGGAGAAGAUUUGGGGGCGCGUGGAUGAAACGCGCUGUUUUUCUCAAAAUCGAUAUAGAGUGAGGACUCUAUUGUAUUGAUAUUCUUAAAAUUCAAUUUCAUUGUUGAGCGAGUGAGGUUUUAACAAAACUCAGUUGAUGUUUGUAAUAAAAUGAGUGUUUUCACAACAUUUAUGUCAAAAUAAUGUACAUCGUAAAUAAGAUAAUGAAUCUUAAAUAACAAACAUAAAACGUACAAUUUAUCUAUUCUUUGUUGAUGGUUAAAAGUAUAAAAACAUUUUGACCUAACCCAUUCCGACAAAUGAUCCAAAAUUGGGUCGGCCGAUCUAAUUUAAAAUUUAUUAUUUGAUACAAACUUACUUUGUGCUGAAAGAAAAAAAAAAAAACAUAGAUCUGUUCUUGGAGAUAACGUAACUUCGUUAUUUGAUCCGAAAAUAGAUAAAAAGAGAAAGAAGAUAAAGGACAAAGAAAACAAGAGCUUAUAGAGCUACAGAGUAUAUACUCAUUAAUUUGAUGGGUUCAUUCUCUUUGUACCCUUUUCCCUUUUUAUUUUAAAAUUUGAGUUGGAGUUUGCUUCUUUGACUAAUCAAUAGAAAUCUAGAAUAUCUCUCACCAAGCUAAAGAAAGAACACACUGUAAUUGCUUUAAAAUCAUUGCAAAGUAUCUCACUUGGGUCACAUUUGUCUUUGUUCCUUUUUAUUUCACUUAUAGCUUGAACAUUGGCUAGUGUCAUUCCUUAACUCCUUAAAAGCUCCCAUCUUGGCCAUUACGAUCUCUCAUGCUUUGACCACAAUUGAAACAACAUUCAAGGCAUUAUGUAACCCAUACAAAACAACAUUUUUGAUUAAGGCUUAAAAGAAUAUAAAUUAUACGUCAUACAACAUUUUCUCUGUAUUACUACGACAAUCUAAACUCACUUCUGUCGUUAGAGACCCACUGAAAUCGUCGUGGUGCGGUGAACAUUAUCACACUAUUAGAAUUUAGAACAUAACAAUACACUCAUGCAUAGAUGAGAGUAUGACACGUCAAAUUGGUGAAGCAAGCGAUGACGUGUGGAAGAAGGAGACUGAGAGAUUCGGAAAGAGAAAGAGGGUUUCGAGAUGAUCGUGAUCAGAGAGAGACCAGAUCCUUGGAAGACCGUGACAUUGCCAGUCACGUGCCUCUUUUUGACUGCCUUCCCUCUGCUGCUUUAACUGCAGAUGUACUUAUCAUUUGUUUACUUUACCAUCCAUUUAAAUAAUAAUAAUAUAUAUAAACAUAUCAAAACACUGUAGUUUGCUUAGCAUUGUUAAACAAGACUAGUCACUUGGGGUGGAAUAGUAUACACUCUGCAGUGAAUUUGCAUAAAUAUUCGGAGCAGUAUAGUUAAUUAAUUUUCUUAGGUUAAAACCUUUUGUUAUAAUUAACCCUGCUCUGUCUUUUUUUUUAACAUUAUGGCAAAAUAUAGUAAACUGUAACUAAUUAACUAAGAAAUGAAAAAUGUAAUAUAUUUCUAUUAUUAAAUUUGUGUAAAACUAAAACCAUGGUUUAGUAAAAAAAAUUAAAACUUGAAUUAAUUAGACGUGUAUUAUGUGGAUCACCAAUAAAAUGAGAUGGUGCAACUUCAAUAAAAGACUCUUAGAACUGAACAAAAACCAACACAUAUUUAAAAUAUUCACUGCAACAUCUUUUUAGACAAACUAAAGGAGCAAGCAAACACAUGUAAAUCUAAAGAACAAAAGAAUAAUGAAUUCAACUAUACAUACAUAAGACCGGGACCAAAUUUUCCUCUUUUGCCAAGUUCCCAAAUUCCCUAUAAAUACGUCUUGUCUCCAUUUCACAACAGCAACGUGGACUCUUUCUUCGAUUUUGGCUGACUCUUCUUUCACCGUUUCCUUAGAAUUUAUUCAUCUCAUAAACACCAAACACAACACAUACUUCUCUUUGUCCCUCUCUCUCUCUAUAUAUAUAUAGAUAUCAACUUUCUAGGGUUUCCAAGAUCAUAUAUCUACGUAUAGUGAUGGGUUUCUCAAUGUUCUUCUCCGCCGAAAACGACGUCGUCCAUCACUCCUCCCCUUAUGCUUCUGUUGACUGCACUCUCUCACUUGGAACUCCCUCCACUCGCCUCUGCAACGACGAUGAUGAACGUAGAUUCUCUUCUCAUACCUCCGACGCCUUAGGUUGGGACUUCUUGAACGGUUCCAAGAAAGGCGGUGGAGGUGGCGGGCAUAACCUCCUCGCUCGCCGUUGCACCAACUGCGACACCACUUCUACUCCUCUUUGGAGAAACGGUCCAAGAGGUCCCAAGGUAGAUAAUAUGUAACCUUUACAUCAAUAUUUUAUCACCCAAAAGUUCUUGAAGUUAGACCAGUAUUUUUUUCUAUACAACAACAAAAAGGUUUAGUCAUGUUCCCAACAUCAAAAUUUGAAUUUGUAACUUUUAAGCUCAGUGUACUAGACUCGGAAAAAUAAUAACUAUAAUUAUAUCGAUAAUAACUUUAUAUGAUUUUUAAUUUGGUCAGUCAUUGUGUAAUGCGUGUGGAAUCCGAUUCAAGAAAGAAGAGAGACGUGCAUCGACCGCCGGAAACUCUACCUCCGGCGGAGGAUCAACGGCGGCUAGAGUUCCAACUUUUGAUCAUCAAGCAGGAGCAAAUUAUUAUUAUAACAAUAAUAACCAAUAUGCUUCAUCGUCGCCCUGGGUUCACCACCAUCAGCAUAAUACGCAGAGAAUUCCAUAUUACUCGCCGGCAAAUAACGAAUACUCAUACGUUGAUGACGUCAGAGAUGUUGAUCAUGACGUCACGACCGAUCCGUUCUUGUCUUGGAGGCUUAACCUCGCGGACCGGACCAGCCUUGUCCACGAUUUUACGAUGUGAUGAGUGAUCAUUUCAUUGAUUGUCUCCUCAUAAGUCUUAGCCUUGGAUACCUUUUAAGUUUUAACAAAGAGAAAAGUCUUGGUUAAAUUCUUUAUUUUACUUGCCUUUAAAUAUAUAUAUUGAAUGUCUUUUUUUGGUCUCUGUGUAUGUGUUUUUUUUUUCUUUCUUAAAUUUAAAAUUCGCAUGAAGCUACUUGUGUUUUCCUUUCAUGACUUUUAAAAUGUUCUCUCGGGUAAUGAACUAAUGAUACAUGACUUUAUAACCUUUUCAUGAUGUGUGUCCUACUUUGACCAUGAUUCAGUGCUAUUAUUAUACAUACAAUAGAGAAUACAAAUGUAAUCCUUUAAUUCCUUUUUAAAAUCAUCUUUGGUUUUUUAUACGGAGAAUGUGAAUGUUUUGGGAUUCAGACACUAUCUUCACAAAUCACAAAUAUGUUUCUUAAACGUCUGAUUUUGUGAGAUUUUUAUCCAAAUUGAAACAAUCAAAUACUUGAACCGAAUUCUCAAAUAAGAAACAUACAGAAAAUAAUUAAGCCAACAAAUAUCUGCAGGGAGGACAAUAUGAAUGUUUGUCGUUUUAUGCCCAAAUUGUCUUGGAAAUUUGACCAUCAAUUGGGUCUUCGUGUGCUGCUCUGCUUAACACUGUUGCUGCCAAUUGCAUGUGAAGAAUAUUUAGCCUUUUCAUAACGUGUUUAGUUUAUCGUAUAAAAUACGUUUGUUUUUAUUUGAUUGUUUCUGGAAACAUAAUCCAAGUUAAUUAAGUGUUUUUACACUCUAUAACAACAGAAAGAGAGAGCAACGAAUUUUGUUAGUCAUUAAUUUAUGAGAGAGUAAGACUCAAGAGUCACUAAACUAGUACAUUUGUCUUCCAAAAUUCAAUUUGAUGAAUUUAGUACAACUUUAAGAAUGUUUUCGCCAAAAAAAAAGGUGUAUACUUUAGUGAAAAUUAAAUGUUUUCGCAUAAUUAAAUGUCUUCAGAAUUUGUACUUUUGUAGCGCUCCUGAUAAUAUUUAUGUGUUGUGAUUUUUCUUUGGGCCUAAGCCCAUUUAAUCUAAAUUCCAUCAAAGUCAAAUGAAAUUCCAAACUUUAAACUAUUUUUUGAAAAUUGGAAUAUAGACCACAGUCAGAUUGGCAGAUUCUAUACCUAUUAAACUCUAGGUUACCAAGAACUUCAUAUACAAACAAAUACAUUACUUAUCCGCUACGCAAGAAGAAACUGUAACAUACGGAUAUAAGUAGGAUGUGUAGGUCAUCUACCCGUUAUCUCCCUAACCGUAAUUAGAUCCAACAAACGCUAUUUUGUCAUCUUUCAUUUAAAAGAAAAUUAAGUCAUUUUCUCAAAACCAUGCACAAUGAAAAACGAAAACAAUACCAAAAGCAACUAAUCAAAUGGUGGUAAUCUAGUAUUUUGGUCUUAGUGAUCAUUUAAUAUCAUAAAUGGAAUUCUAAUGGAUGUAUACAUUUGACUACACUUUUCGUUUCUAGAAUGAGUGUGUUCUUCUACUGGUCAAGAGAUUAAUUAAAAAAACAGAAAAACAAAGGUUAACAACCCAACACCAAACAUUUUAACAAAUUCCAAAUCCAAGUGCCAAUUCUACAAGUGACGUUUGAAAAGAUCGAAUGGAAAAAAUGUUUAUAUAAUGUUACUUCCCAUUUGGUCUUCUCUUCAAACAUCUCUCGACAAAAAAAAGAAGUUGCACAAUGGUGAACUUUGUUGAGGUACAAAAACCAUUGUUAUACGGUCUGAUGAAAAUGGCCGGCGUCGUUCCUUACACUUUAGAGAUCGAACCAGGGACGAAGAUAAACUUUUGGGUCCCUAAGGAAACCCUAAAGAAGAAAUCCUGUACCGGAAAACCAACUAAACCCGAUAAACCGAAAAAGCCUGCCGUUUUGUUAAUCCAUGGUUUCGCCGGCGAAGGAAUCGUGACGUGGCAGUUCCAAGUCGGUGCAUUAUCCAAGAAAUACUCGGUCUACAUACCGGACCUCCUCUUUUUCGGUGGAUCCUACUCCGACAACUCGGACCGGUCUCCGGCGUUUCAAGCCGACUGUUUGGUCAAGGGGCUACGUAUCCUCGGCGUGGAUAAGUUUGUUCCCGUAGGGUUUAGCUACGGGGGCAUGGUGGCUUUCAAGAUCGCUGAGGCUUACCCGGACAUGGUUAGAGCAAUCGUUGUGUCUGGUUCGAUUCCCACGAUGACCGAUACCAUUAAUGAGGCGAGCUUGAACCGGUUAGGGUUUAGUUCUUCCACGGAUCUCUUGUUACCGACUUCGGUUAAGGGACUUAAGGCUCUCUUCACCAUUGCUGUGCAUAAACCCAUGUGGUUCCCUAAACGAUUGUUCAAAGACUACAUCGAGGUGAUUAUUACUACGCAAAGUUAAUUCAAUUAUUUUCUUUUCUUUUCGUGAAAACAAUUAAUAGUAGAUGAUAUUCCGUAAUAGUAAAUGAUUGCAUUAGCAGCCAUAAUUUUUUUUUAGUGAAAAUAAUUGUGUAGUUUCUUUAGCAGUAAUAAUCAUAAUUGUUUUUUUUUUUUCCAACAAUUCCUCACAUUAUUAUAUUUAGUGUCCCAUAUGGAUCACGUUUCCAAGAAAGAGUGAUUGUGAGAGUUUGGUGGAACUUGCGAAAUAUAUUUGCCUCUCUAUGUCAAAUCUCCUAACUUGGCGCCUCCACAAACUAUGGAUUGAGUUUGCUAAUUUCAUUCAGAUCCAUUAUUAUUCAAAAAAAUUAGGCUUUCAUUCAUUCUGUUAUUUUAUGAAAAUCUAGUACUGUUUGUGGGAUAAUAAUUGGAUUCUGAAUGUUUUUAUAAAAAUACUAUUUGAUCAUUGUUAUAAAUAACAAGACUCUCUUCAAAUUUAGCAAAUCUCUUUAUAAAAUAAACCAACUCUAUUCAUGUUUGUAAACUAAUUACGGUUACCCAGUUUUAAGAUACAUAAUUAUUUUCGUUAUUUUCUAUCAUUCAUAAAUUUAAAUUAGUUAAUUUUUCAUGUUGCUUUUCUAUUCUUCAAUUGAAAAUGAAUUGGAACUUUAACAUUAUGUUAAUUCUAAUUCGUUCCCACCAAAAAAAUGUUAAUUCUAAUUCGUUGCCUAAAAUUAUCUAGAAGUAAGUGAAGAAAAAUAGAUUAUAGAUAAAUCUACAUUUAUGGUAGGUUAUAUAAAAAAUACUAUUAUAUGGUAGGUUAGCUAAAAUUUGUUAAACUACUCUCAACUAUAUCUCGUAUUUAUCUAGUAACAAUAUUUAGUCUACCAAUGAUUGAUUUAGAACUAGUUCACAUUUAUUUAGUCCAAGUCUUUUUAGUUGAAUGAAUGUGAACGUAUGGUUCUAAAUUAUGUUUUAAUUUACUGGUGAACUUGGUAGGUAAUGUUUAACAACAGGAAAGAAAGAGCUGAACUGUUAGAGGCUGUUGUAGUCAGCAACAAGGAAGCGCAAAUCCCUCAUUUCCCACGGGUACGUAUGAACAAAUGUCCACAUCCGUAUAACUAUUAGUAUUUAGACUCUAUGUAACAACAUUUCAUGUGUUAUAUAUGUGUGUAUGCAGAAAAUACAUUUCUUAUGGGGUGAAAGUGAUCAAAUCUUUGAUCUCGAAUUGGCUAGAGACAUGAAAGAGUAAGUUUGAAGAUAUUAAAAUUUUAUAAUUUCUGCCAUUUGAAAAGUUGUUUUUUUUUUUGUUGUCCUAAUUUUUGCCGUUAUUGAUUUUUUCAGACAACUAGGUGAGAAUGCAACAAUAGAGAGUAUAAAGAAGGCAGGCCAUUUGGUACAAUUGGAAAGACCUUGUGUUUACAACAGGCGUCUCAAAAAGUUUCUUGCAUCUAUUCACUCUGAAGAUAAAUAUCUUCAAUAAAUAUAAUUUAAAAUGCUAUUAAGUUUUAUUUGAUCCUGAUAUGUAUAUGGAUCAUUUAUGUCGAGAUUGUAUAAUUAUUGGGUUGCUUUACUUGAUUUGUCUUUUGAUUCUUUACUACGAUCACGAUAUGUAAUAUUAAUCUUUAUGAAAUUAUUUGAUUGAAUAACAUAAAACUUAUACUCCCUGUUUCACAAAAAGUGUCAUUCUACUAUUUUCAUACAAAUUAAGAAAAUUAAACAAUUUUCAUUUCUACCCCUUAUUAAUACAUUAGAUAAUAGUAUUCUCUCUAUAAUUAAUAAACUGAAAUAGUAGGGAUAAAAAGGAGAAUUAGUCUUAAAAACUGCAUUGAAAACAUAAAACGACAUUAUUUUGUGAAACAAAAUUAAAACCUUAAAACGACACUUUUUAUGAAAUCUAUACUAGUAUAAUCGCAGCACUGUUGUGACGGGUGGGUAAAAAAGCUUUCGGGUAUAUCGGAUAUCCGACCCAUUUUAAAAAUUUCUUCACAAAAAAUUUGUUGGGUCGGGUUAUAUUUAACCCAACUCAUACACCGGAUAUUCCAUAUUUAAUAAUUUAGAUUUUUAGAAGAUUUGAUUAAGAUUUAUAAUUAUGAUUCUCCUAUCAUCUUUGUUUGAUUUGUUUUUAACUGUUUUGAAUCAUCAUAUAAUGCAUAAAGUAAAAAAAAAAAUCAAUUUUUUUUCUGCAUAUACUGUGAUUCGAAAUUUUAAAAACGGACAUAUAUUAUCCAAUUGACGAAAAUGUGUGUUCAACGUUCUACAUCGAUUAAAAUAUUUAGACAAUGAUUCAAAAUCAUAUCAUAAAUAAGAACAUUAAUAAAAUAAAGAGAAAUUGUUAAAAAUGCCCCUUUUUCAAUACCCCUUUUCAAAAAUGCCCCCUUUGAGAGUCCAUUUUUAAGUUUGCCCUCUUUUAAUUUUUAAUGAUCAUUUUACCCUUAUUUGGAACAAAAUUAGGUUCACAAAAUACAAAAUAUUUUUUGGCGGGAAAAGUGAUCCCGCAAUUUUCCCGCCAAAACACUUGUAAAAACCUUUAAAAUACCUUGUAAAAUCUUCCCGUAAAAAAUUUUCCCGCCAAAAAACUUCUUUUGCGGGAAAAGUGAUUACGCAAUUUGUUGGCGAAAUUUUGCUGGCGGGAAAAAUUUACAAGGUAUUUUAAAGGUUUUACGGAGUAUUUACAAGUGUUUUGUAAGGUAUUACAAUGUAUUUUAAAAGGUUUUACAAGGUACUUAUAAGGUUAUAUAAGGUAUUUAUAACUCGUAAAACCUUAUAACAAACUUGUAAAACCUUAUAACUUGUAAAACCUUAUAAAAUAGCUUUUAAAAUCUUAUAAUAUCUUAUAAGUACGUUGUAAAACCUUUUAAAAUACAUUGUAAAAUCUUAUAAAUACCCUGUAAAAAAUCUUUAAAAUACCUUGUAAAUUUUUCCCGCCAAAAAUUUAACGCCAAAAAAAUUGCGGAAUCACUUUUCCCGCAAAAAACUUUUUUUGGCGGGAAAAAAUUUUACGGGAAAAUUUUACAAGGUAUUUUAAAGGUUUUACAAGUUUUUACAAGUGUUUUGGCGGGAAAAAUUGCGGGAUCACUUUUCCCGCCAAAAAAUAUUUUGUAUUUUGUGGACCUGAUUUUGUUAUAUUUCCUUAUAUAUUUGUGAUAUCUUUUAUUAAAUGAAGGGUAAUUUAGUCAUUUUGUACAUAAAAAGGGGUAUUUUUAAAAAUGGACAGCCAAAAGAGGCAUUUUUGAAAAGGGAUAUUGAAAAAGGGGCAUUUUUGUGAGUCUCUCUAAAAUAAAUGAGUUUUUUGGCGGGAUGGGUUUGGCGGGACGGGUUUUUGAAUCAAUAAUAAUAAAAAGAUUAAAAUAUCGUUAAUUCGCCGCUUCAAUACGGAUUUAAUCCUUAUUUUUUUUAAUACAAAUCAUAGGACGGGUUAAGAAAUUACGGAACGGGUUAUAUUUCGGAAAUGAUUUAUAUGGCGGACGAAUUUGAAUCAAUAUUUAUAUACCGCUUUAAUACGGGUUAAAUCCUCAGUUUAUUAAUAAUUAUCUCGUGGACUCGUGGUAUACCGUUACUUAAUAACAAUUGUAAACUAUAAUAUAAAUAAAUAUGUUAUAAAGAGAUACAAUUUACAAAAUAUUUUUAUACUAACUUUAAAAUUAAUUCAUCCCGCGGUGUACCGCGAGUUAAAAUCUAGUAGAGAGAGUAUAAAGUUUGAAACUUAACUCUGAUUAAAAAGGAAAAUAAAAUUUAUUACUCAGUUUAAGUAAUAGCUAAAUUAUUCGGUAGUUUAUGUUAAUGUCUUAAACAUUAAAUCAAUAAUUAACGCAAAAACUCUGUUUCCCUGUUUCACAAUAACGCUCUCUGAAUUUGCUUCAAGCGAGUUGUUUUUGUAGAAAGUGCUAUUAUCACCACUGCCUUGGCACAAAACAAUUAACUUUUUCUUCCGUGAUCGUAUUAAGGGUUUGUUGGUAAAAUAGACACUUUUUGAAAAGUAAUUGAGGAAAUAGUUACUUUUGAAAAAUAAUUUGAGAAAUAGACACUUUCAAAUUUUUUUUGUGAGAUAGAAUGUUUGUGUAAUAGAGAAAAAGACAAAACUGUAUGUUAAGACCAAAGUAACCCUGGUCUAAAAAGAGAUAUUUUGGGACCACUUUUAAGUAUCGUUUCGUACACUAACAUAUGUACACCAAUUCAUCCCGUACACCGAUAUUUGUACAAUAUCUCUUAAACCAUCAAAUACACUAACGCUCGUACACCUCAUCAUCUCGUACACUAAUGUUUGUACACUAUCUCAUAGACCAUCACGUACACCGAUCGAAAAUGAUUCUCUUUUUUUAUAGACGUGGUGUACACUAACACAUGUACACUAAAUUAUCCUAUACAUCGAUAUUUAUAUAAUAUCUCUUCAACCAUUAAAUACACUAAUGCUCGUACACUUCAUCAUCUCGUACACUAAUGUUUGUACACUAUCUCAUAGAGACCAUCACGUACAUUGACUAAAAUAGUUAUCUCUUUUGUAGACUUAGUGUACAAUAUGUGAAAGUAUGUAGUGUUGUAGACGGCACAUGAGGUGGUGUAUAGCGCGACACACCAUCUCAUCGUUUUAUGUACCACUAUCAAUAUCAUGUACACCACCUUUUGCGUCAUUUUCGUACACCAUCGUAUUUUAUAGUUGUACUUGUACACCACUAAGAGAUUGUUGUUUGUAUCCCACUUCGUACACUGUCAAAUUAAGAUUAAAAAUUAAAUUCACAUAAAAUAGCUAAUUUGGAUUUUUUAGAUUCAUAUUAAAAAAAUAAAAAAUUAAUAUGUUAUUGUGAUAAAAAAUGUUUAUGAAUAAUUUUUAACAAAACAAACUAAAAAGAUUUAAAUGAAAAGAAAAAAAUAUAUAUAUAUAUAUAGAUAACAACAAAAAAGGUAAUUAAGUAAUUAUACAAAAUCCUCUCUAAUAAAGAGUUUUAUUUGAUGAAGAGAGAGAAAUGUGUCUAUUAUGCCAAUUAUUUAUGAAAGCGUUUAUUCUUCAAAUUAUUAUUUUAAAAGGUGUCUAGUUUACCAAAUUUGUCUCGUAUUAACCAAAAAAUAAAAAAAAAAAACUAAAAAACUAAAAAACUAAAACUCAAAAGAGGAUGAUCUAACUCGCCUUUAAUUCAGAAUCUGGUUUUGCAACUAAAUACAAACAACUCCACCAUUCUUACAUAUACAUACACAUAUAUAUAUAUAAGAAAUUUAUUUUACAAACGAAGAUUUGAAAUCUAAAUGCGUAGUAUACCUCGUCGGUUCUAAAGCUCAGCACUACGGUCUCUUACAUAUGUGCCGUACUCUCCAGCAGCAUCAGAAGCCUUCUCCUUUGCACUCUCAUAAGCUUCUUUUGUCUUCUCCGACAUAGAAUCCUUAGCUGCACCAUACCUCUCCCCAACCUUAUGCAUUGCCUCGUCGAAUCUUCUCGCUGCUUCGCUCCCCGAUUCGUAUGCAUCAGUUGCUUUGUCUUUUGCGUAGUCCAUCGCUCGUCCUGCGGUUUCGCUAACAUCCUGAGCUUUAUCCGAUUCCAUGUCUUUAGCAUUAUUAGACCCUUCUUUGAAUCUUUUGUAUGUUCCAUACGCAUUAUCUUUAGCUUCACCACUCUUAUCCGUAGCCAUCUUAAUCACAUCCUCUGCUUUGUCAUAGGCAGCGUCUUUUGCAUGAGCUGCCUUGUCGUAGGCAAAGUCUUUGGCUUGACCAGCCUUCUCAGAGGCUGAUCCUGCUUUGUCGUAGGCCAUGUCCUUGGCUUGAUCAGCCAUGUCAUAAGCUGAUCCCGCAUUUUCGUAAGCCAUGUCCUUAGCUUGACCGGCCUUGCCGUAGGCCAUAUCUUUCGCUUGACCGGCCAUGGCAGAGGCUGAUCCCGCCUUCUCGUAGGCUUUGUCCUUGGCUUGACUGACCUUGUCGUAGGCCUUACCUUUGGCUUGACCCGCCUUGUCGUAGGCUGAUCCCACCUUGUCGUAGACCAUAUCUUUAGCUUGACCCGCCUUGUCGUAGGCCAUGUCCCUGGCUUGACCGGCCUUUUCAUAGGCCGAUCCUGCUUUGUCGUAAGCCAUGUCCUUAGCUUGACCGGUCUUAUCGUAGGCUAUGUCCUUUGCAUCACCAGCCUUAUCAUAAGCAUAAUAUUUUGCGUUUUGAGCACUAUCGUAAACAGAUCCAGCUUUGUCUGAUGCAAAGUCCUUGGCGUAACCCACAUUGUCAUAGGCGGAUCCAGCCUUGUCAUAAGCGUAGUUCUUCGCAGAUCCAGCCGCUUCUUCUGCCUCAUCUUUCUUGCUUCCCAAUCCUCUGUUAACAAAAGAAGAAGAAGAAAGAGUGCUAUUAGAUCAAUCAUAUGAACAUUCUUAAAUCACUAAACAGUUUUAAAUGCAAGUGAUGCGUUAAUAUACAUUUCAAUUUUUUUUAAAAACAAACAUUCUGUAAAUCAAAACUCAAAUCUACGUUUAACAAUUUUAUUUAUUUAUUUAUCAAGCAUUAGAGAUUAUGGUCCCAUUAGAAGAAAGUAAUACAGAUCCAAAAUAAAAGUAUGAUCAUGCCUAAACAAAAGUUAACGCUUACGUGGAAAUUUUGUCGGAAACCCAGCCAGCCCAAGAGGCGGUUUUUUCCUUUGUGUCAUGAGCGGUCUCGGCUGCGUUUUUAGCAUGCUCUGCUUCGUUUCUAACCAUAUCCUCUGCUGUCUCUGUUCCCCAUCCAUAGCAUUGCUUCUGCCACGUCAGUAUCAGCACCAUCAUAAGCAUCAUCAUCAUCACCGUGCUUUUCUUCAUUAUUCUUAUUUAAAAAAAUUCCGAUUUUGAUAUAGUUUGUGGUUUGUUUCUUGGUUCCAAUCUCCAUGGAGGAAGUUUAUAGUAGUUAUAGAGGAGAGAGAUAGAUUAUCCCUUUCUUUCACUAGAUAAGCGGUUACUGUUAGACACGUGGUUAUUCGAUGUUUACGUUACGUGGCAAUUAAAGAGGCGGUUAUGUUGGGAAGUAAUGUCUUGUGUAUUUGCCACGUGUUGACUUGUGGUUAGGAUUUGCACUUUGCAGGGUUAGUGACUCCCGAGCCCGAGGUCAUGUGGCCUCGUAGAGGGAAGUUUCAAUACUUGGGAAGGUGUAUAAACAUGUUUCAAAAACCGAAGCCAUGCACUAAGCCCAAUUUGAAACCCAGCACGAGCCCAACCGAAAGUAGAGCACGUUGUCUAUCUACUAUACAUUUUUGCAGCAGUUUUUGGAUACCCAAAUCGGGUCAAAUUUGUUUAAUUUUGAUCCGGAAAUCUUCAAUCGGAUCUUUCCUUAAAUUUUGGCAAAAUUAAAAAACGAAAAUAAUUAAUAAAAUCUAAAAUAUAUAUACUUUCUCAACUAAUUACUAUAUUUAAACGCUUUAUUUAUGGUAUAUUCUCCACGAUUUUUAUAGAUAAAGAAAUCAAAUAUGAUGAUUUAAUGCUAAUAUAACAAAUUUGCACUAAUUUUCUAAAACCUCUCUACCUAAUUUAAACAUAAAUAUAUGAUUCUUAUUUCACUUUUAUUUGAUCUUAUAUUUAUAUUAUUUUAAAUUAUUAUAAAAUAUAUAAAUAGUUAGUAAAUUUUAGUUUUUUUUUCUGCAUAUGUUACAAUUCAAAUUUUUUAAAACGGACAUAUAUUAGUCAAUCGAUGAAUAAAAAUAUGUGUGUAAUCUAUAUUAACAUUUUUAAGAACAAAUUGAGCAUUUAAUCAUGUCGUUAUUUUAUUCAGACCCGAAAUUGAGUAUUCGGAUCUUUCUUUAAUUUUUACAAUUAUCUAAAAUGGGACAGUAUAUCACGGGUGAAAUCCUAAUUAGUAUUUUAAGAUACAAUUAUAAAUUGUUUUUACGGGUUGGUCCAAAAACACACACUAAUUUAAAAAUAUACAUGGAAACUAUUUGAAAGCAACUUUCAAAUUAACUCGAAUUAUAUGAUAUUUAAAUAAAAGUGUUAUUAAAAAAAUAACAAAAUGAUGUUUAAUUUCAUUUUAGAUUAUAUGGUUGGACGCGUUUGGGUCAAUAUUAAUACGAGACAAUAUACCACAGGUGAAAUCCUAUAAAUAACAAAUCAAAAUACAAUUAUACAAUCUUAAACACUAAACAAAACAAAUACAACUUAAAAUUUUUUAUUUUAGAUACAACGUAUGUGACCCGCGGUAUACAACAAAAAAUAUUAUACACAAUAAAUUCAUCAAUUUAUAAAAAUAAAAAAAUCAAAUAAUUAACCCGCGGUGUACCGCGGGUCAUAUCCUAGUUGUAAAUAAAUAUGGUGCAAGUUGAUUGUAAAUUUUUCUGAUAUAAGUCCAAUUACGUAUCUGUUGUUGGAAUAGUGAAAUUGUUCACCAUGUUUCUAUGUAUAUUUUUUCGUUGUGAUAAGAUUAAAAUAUUUUUCAAUAAUGAUAUAAUUGAUAAAAAAAAAAACUAAGUACCUUUUGUUUUAUUUAAAAUAAUUUAUUUUUUAUGAGAAUCAAUAAUGAUUAUUGUAAUCUUCCAACAUUUUAAUAUUUAAAGAUAGUGAUAAUUGAUAAAUCAACAAUAUUUGAGUAUAAAUCAUUUUAUGUAUAUCUUAUAAAUGUUAAUUUCAAUAAACAUAACUCACCCUCAUUAUGAAAAUAAUCUCUAAUAAAUGAUAUAAAUCCAAAUUAAAAUAUUUGGGCCCAUAACUCAAAAUCAUUUGAAUUUCACUUCAUAUAUUUUGUUUAUAUUAUUAUGAAAAGUACAACUGUAUAUUUUAUCUAGUGAUGAUUGUAAUAUCUCAAAAAUAGAUAACUUUUUUUCUUCUGUAUAUAGUUUACUUGUAUUAGCUGUAAAUAACAUAAAAUGGACUCUAAUUAAUGUAAUGGAUAUAAUUUUCAGAUUUUUUCCCAAUAAGUAUUUAAAAACAGCUCAUAAUAAUUUAAUGUGCCUCUCAUGGGGAGUUGAUACAUACAUUUGUCAAACUGUUAUGCAAUUUAACAACUAAUAUAAUGAUAUUGCAUUUAAAAUAUCAUGAAUUUUUUAUCCUUUAAAAAAAUUAGAGAUAAUUAUGAAAUAUUCCUCAUAUGGGAAAAUUAAAAGUUCAACAAAAAUAAGGGUCGGAGGACAAAAUUUACUUGGAAUGGACUUAUGGUGUUGGAUUUCUAUAUGUAAUACACCAGUAUAAAUAUAGAGAACAUAGUUUAGUUUUUAACAUCAAUUUGUCUUUUGUUUCUUCUAACUUUUGAGAAAAUGGUGAGAAGUACCAAAGGUCGUCAGAAAAUAGAGAUGAAAAAAAUGAAAAACGAGAGCAACCUUCAGGUUACUUUCUCGAAAAGAAGCUUUGGUCUUUUCAAAAAAGCUAGUGAACUUUGUACAUUAUGUGGUGCAGAAAUUUUAAUGAUUGUUUUCUCUCCUGGUGGAAAAGUGUUUUCUUUUGGCCAUCCAAGUGUUCAAGAUCUGAUUCAUCGUUUUGAGAAUCCUAACUAUAAUUCUAUCAUUGUCCAUCAACAAAACAACAGUAGCACUCGGACCAGGANNNNNNNNNNNNNNNNNNNNNNNNNNNNNNNNNNNNNNNNNNNNNNNNNNNNNNNNNNNNNNNNNNNNNNNNNNNNNNNNNNNNNNNNNNNNNNNNNNNNUUCAACGAAUAUACUGACGAGGGUUAAUAUUAUUUUUUCUUUGAAAAAUUAUAUAAGAGAAUAAGUAUAUAUUUAUAUAUAUAUAUAUUUAAUAUUGUGGUCUAUGGGUGAUCCAAAAUUUUUUUAUAACAUUACUUCACUAAUAUAUGCUACUACAUGCAUAGACAUAUAUAUAAGUGGUACUUAAUUUGUUAAAGGAAACCAUAUCUUGUUUUUUCACAAAAUGAAAGAAUCUCAUUGCAGGUGCUGACAACCCAGGAAAAGGAGAAAAAUAAGAGAAUGGUUUUGGACAUAAUGAAAGAAUCCAGAGAACAAAGAGGAAACUGGUAUGAAAAAGAUGUGAAAGAUCUCGACAUGAAUGAAACCAACCAUCUGAUAUCUGCUCUUCAAGAUGUGAAAAAGAAACUGGUAAGUGAAAUGUCUCAACAAUAUUCUCAAGUAAAUGUUUCUCAGAAUUACUUCGGCCAAAGUUCUGGCUUUAUUGGUGGUCCUAAUGUUGAUGUUGGCAUUGAUCUUUUUGAUCAAAGAAGAAAUACAUUCAACUAUAAUCCAAACAUGGCGGUGUUUCCUAACCAUACACCAAUGUUUGGAUACAACAAUGAUGGAGUUAUCGUUCCGAUAUCCAACAUGAACUAUAUGUCAAGUUACAACUUCAACCAGAGCUAGAGCCUGAAGCUAGAAGAACAUCCUAAUCAAUAUUUGCGUUAUUUUGGAUAUGGUUACUGUUAGGAUUGUUCUUGUAUUGUGAGACUUAAGUUAUUUUUUUUUUCUUCUUUACUUUGUUUCAGUUUGUUGAUUUUUCCUUUUCGUCGUUUGUUUUUCUUUGUUUUUAGGAUAUUUUGAGACCAGAAUAAAUUUAUUUAUCCUUUAAUUAUACAUUUUUAAUAUUUUUUUGCUAUUUAAGCUUGAUGUUAUAUAGUGAAAUCAAACCAAAUUUACAAAUGAACAAUACAAUAUUUUAAGAAACCCAAAUCAGACAGAAAUGAAUAUAAUUUUAAUAACGAGAAUUGUUCAUAUGUAAGACUUCAACUAAGAUUCUGCAGAAAAUCUUUAAAAUAACUCAUGUUUUUAAUCUAAAAAAUCAAUUUUAGCACUAAUUUUAAAACAAUCAGAUUUCUUUAUGUUGAAUAAGUAAACGACAUGUAUAAUCAAAAUCCAAGUGCCUAAGAGAAGAGUAAUGGUUGAAAACCUUCAGAAGCAAGCCUAAGCCUUUGGUGAUGUUCUUCAACCUUAUAUUCAACAAUCUCUUUGAAAAGCUGUGAAUCCAAUACACAAUCCUCUCGUCCGUACACUCCAGCUUGUACUCCAGCCACAAGCUUUGCAAUUUCACGGCCAGAGAAUCCUUCCGUCUUCUUUGCAGCCUCAGAAAUCACUUUAUCAGUUAGGUCUGCUUCAACGGUAAUCUUCUGUGACAGCUUCUUAAACAAAUGACUCCAUUUCGGUUUUGUGUCUUUGUUGUUGUCACCCCUCUUUAGAUAUUUGUUGAGAUAGAGAUUGAGAAGCUUGAAACGUUCUUCUUCCCCUGGAAGUGGGAACUCAAUGACUUCAUCAAUCCUGUCUGUAACCGCACUAUCGAGAUCUCCAGGUCUGUUUGUAGCCAAGACAAGAACAAUGUCCCGAGAUUGAUCACCGGUUCGGAAGAGCAAAGCAUUCAGAGCACUACGUUGAGCCUCACUCAUGUAAGUGCUGUUACGCCUGCAAAGAAAAAGAAAUCAUCUUUCUUUAAACCCAGAGAAAAAGUUGCAAUCUUUUUGUCAUUUUAUUGUCAAAAACCUAAAACGCUAAAACAACGACUAAUCCUUGUUGGAUAUCCUGACAUAAUGCAGCUCAAACGGCCACUGAGUGGAUUAUCAAAGGAUUGUAGAAAAGAGGAGAGGGAGAUCUUACUCGCAUAGAAAAGCAUCGGCUUCAUCAAUGAAAAGAAGUAAGCCUUUGUUCGAUUUCUUGGCCCAAUCAAAUAUCUGAUGGAUUUUAGUAACAGCUUGUGAUCCCAAGGGAGCAACAUCUCCACCUGUCAUCAUAGCAUAAUCCAGACCCUGCAACAAAUAAUUGUAUCUAAGAACUCAUAGAGACGGAAUUAACAAAGCUACUACCAUAGUUUUGAUAAUAACUCACCGAUUUUCGAGCUAUUUCCCUUGCGACCAUAGUUUUACCGGUACCAGGAGGUCCAUAAAACAUCAUGUUGCGGAAUGGUGCUUGAUGGGAUUUGGUAUUUGCUGUAGCUCUAGCGAGAUGCUCGAUUCGUUUCUUCAAAGAAGUAUGGAGAAUUACAUUAUCAAGUGGCUUUUUCCCUUCUGCUGCAGAUGCUGCUGCUGCACCUGAGAUUCUGUUCUUCAAUUGAGACAUUGAGCCUGCCCAUGGAAAUCUACCCAUAGAAGAUUCUCGAAUAAGUGAUGGUUGUCCAAGCAUCCUAUUGACAUAACCCCAUGUAACUCUAGCACCUUCACUGUUAAAUACAAAAGAUUCAAGAUAUAGAUUACAUUAGACACAAAAGAUUCAAGAUAUAGAUUACAUUAGACAAUGAUAAAAGAAUCUAAGAUCACUUGGGUCAAAUCAGACUGGUUCCGAGAAUCCCAUUAUAUCCAAUAGGUUAUAUAGUUCAGAGAUGCAUACCGAGUUGUAUAAAUCCCUGCAGCUAAUGCAGUAGCUCCUCCAACAGUCAUAAUCAGCUUAUUACGAUCGGUUAAUAAGGUCCUGAAUCCCCCUGCCAAUUUCAUAUGGUAGUAAGCAAAAGGAACAAAAAGAACUGAUCUG
rnacentral:lncRNA from 1 species